GGACUCUGGAGCAGUCCUCCUCUGUUUUGCAGUCUGAUGGGUGAUUCUGGGUUAGGUGAAUGCCACGAAAAUGUUACCUGCUUGACUGCAUUGUGCCAACUGUAAAGUUUGGUGGAGGAGUGAUAAUGGUAUGGGGCUGUAUUGCAGUCAUACUUGCAAUACAAAUGUCGGUAUUUUUCUCAGUAUAAACUGAGAUUAGGCUGCAAUACCACCGCUGUGUGUGUGGAGAGAAACGAGGAUAGGAAGUUACAGCAUCUUCCUCCUUGCCUCUCUCUAGAGUCCAGCCAGCAGCUCAGGUACAUGAGGAAUGGGGGAGACAACUGGAAGGGCAGUCUAUAUGAGGUAACACAGGGGGAUCAGAGACUCAUACAUAU